rnacentral:rRNA from 1 species
UACAGAGGGGGCAAGCGUUGUUCGGAAUUACUGGGCGUAAAGGGCGCGUAGGCGGCCUGUUAAGUCGAACGUGAAAUCCCCGGGCUCAACCCGGGAACUGCGUCCGAUACUGGCAGGCUUGAAUUCGGGAGAGGGAUGCGGAAUUCCAGGUGUAGCGGUGAAAUGCGUAGAUAUCGGAAGGAACAUCAGUGGCGAAGGCGACUUCCUGGACCAAUACUGACGCUCAGGUGCGAAAGCGUGGGGAGCAAACAGG